AAACUAUGCCCUUAUCUCUACAGGUGAAAUAUUCUUUAUGCAUGACAUGUAAUGGAUUUUGGGGCCACACAUGGCCCAUGAGUGCCAAAGACAAAUUUCAUGGAAUAAGAUCUUAGAAUUUGGCAUUGGACCAUGGCAUAGGAAUUGAGAACCAUCAUUGGUGUGACAAUCCUUAAAAUGGUGAUCAUAUCUCACUUGUAAGAUAAAUAUUCCUAGUGUAAGGCAUGUGUGGUGGUUCGGGGUACUUAUGCAUCUAAUUAAUACACACCUAUCCCAAACAACCACAAACAUAAAUGAUAACACACAUAUAAACAUAAGCAUCAAUGCACCUAACCUAUUUACUUACCCAGACAUCUAAUUGAUGCAUCUUGUUGGUGAACAUUCUCCUCUCAGGUAAACAGUUAAUCAUGUGUUAAUUAGACUGAGUAUGUCCAAGGGGGAUAUGGAUUAAUGUUUUAAUAAUCACCUAACCUAGAACUUGAAUCGACACCCCCUAAUCUUCUAAAUCAUCGACCCAUAACCCUUAUAAAUACCCAAUGUGAUUUAUUCCCAUUUCUCUGCAUGUCAAAGUGAAGAAAUUAAACCAAGUGCGGGUAAAUGGUGUUAGUAACUAUGACUCUCUUAAGGUAGCCAAAAGCCUCAUCAUCUAAUUAGUGACUCACAUGAAUGGAUGAUUAACGAUAUUCCCCACUAUCCCUAGAUACUAUAUUCUAGAGAAACCACAUCCAAGGGAAUGGGCUUGGAAGAAUUAGUGGGGAAAGAAGGCCCUAUUGAGAUUGACUCUAGUCCUAACCCAUUCAUAGUUUGGGAAAAUUAGGGCAUAUUUUGGGAAAAUUAGACCAUAAAAAUUAUCUUUGGGAUUCAAAUUGAUGAUGGAAACAAGUGGGUGUGUGAGUCAAAUUUGAGUCCAGAAACCCUCCCAUAUCGUUAAGGCAUGUGAAUGGUCUAUCUACGAUCACGAUGGUACAAAAAUGAAUGAGCUUCUCGUGGUUUCAAGAAUAAUUUAUCCUCUACUGAAAAAGGCCAACCACGU
rnacentral:ncRNA from 1 species